AUUGAACGCUGGCGGCAUGCCUUACACAUGCAAGUCGAACGGCAGCACGGGUGCUUGCACCUGGUGGCGAGUGGCGAACGGGUGAGUAAUACAUCGGAACGUACCUUAUCGUGGGGGAUAACGCAGCGAAAGUUGCACUAAUACCGCAUACGCCCUGAGGGGGAAAGCGGGGGACCGUAAGGCCUCGCGCGAUUAGAGCGGCCGAUGUCUGAUUAGCUUGUUGGUGAGGUAAAAGCUCACCAAGGCGAUGAUCAGUAGCUGGUCUGAGAGGACGGUCAGCCACACUGGGACUGAGACACGGCCCAGACUCCUACGGGAGGCAGCAGUGGGGAAUUUUGGACAAUGGGGGCAACCCUGAUCCAGCAAUGCCGCGUGAGUGAAGAAGGCCUUCGGGUUGUAAAGCUCUUUUGUCAGGGAAGAAACAGCAGCUCUAACACAGUCUGCGAAUGACGGUACCUGAAGAAUAAGCACCGGCUAACUACGUGCCAGCAGCCGCGGUAA
rnacentral:rRNA from 1 species